GACGAACGCUGGCGGCGUGCUUAACACAUGCAAGUCGAACGGAAAGGCCCUGCUUUUGUGGGGUGCUCGAGUGGCGAACGGGUGAGUAACACGUGAGUAACCUGCCCUUGACUUUGGGAUAACUUCAGGAAACUGGGGCUAAUACCGGAUAGGAGCUCCUGCUGCAUGGUGGGGGUUGGAAAGUUUCGGCGGUUGGGGAUGGACUCGCGGCUUAUCCGCUUGUUGGUGGGGUAGUGGCUUACCAAGGCUUUGACGGGUAGCCGGCCUGAGAGGGUGACCGGCGACAUUGGGACUGAGGGACGGACCAGAAGCCUACGGGAGGCAGCAGUGGGGAAUAUGGCACAAUGGGCGGAAGCCUGAUGCAGCAACGCCGGGUGCGGGAUGACGGCCUUCGGGUUGUAAACCGCUUUCGCCUGUGACGAAGCGUGAGUGACGGUAAUGGGUAAAGAAGCACCGGCUAACUACGUG
rnacentral:rRNA from 1 species